GACGAACGCUGGCGGCGCGCCUAACACAUGCAAGUCGAACGAGCAAGAGAGAGCUUGCUUUCUCGAGCGAGUGGCGAACGGGUGAGUAACGCGUGAGGAACCUGCCUCAAAGAGGGGGACAACAGUUGGAAACGACUGCUAAUACCGCAUAAGCCCACGGUGCCGCAUGGCACAGAGGGAAAAGGAGCAAUCCGCUUUGAGAUGGCCUCGCGUCCGAUUAGCUAGUUGGUGAGGUAACGGCCCACCAAGGCAACGAUCGGUAGCCGGACUGAGAGGUUGAACGGCCACAUUGGGACUGAGACACGGCCCAGACUCCUACGGGAGGCAGCAGUGGGGAAUAUUGCACAAUGGGGGAAACCCUGAUGCAGCGACGCCGCGUGGAGGAAGAAGGUCUUCGGAUUGUAAACUCCUGUUGUUGGGGAAGAUAAUGACGGUACCCAACAAGGAAGUGACGGCUAACUACGUGCCAGCAGCCGCGGU
rnacentral:rRNA from 1 species